GAAAAGCUUAAGAUGCCAGAAUAUACAUUGGGGGCCAUAAGGAAAUCAUUAAUUCUUGUUGCUUUCUGAAUUGUUUUCUUUUUCCUCAAAAUGUGUAUGAAAGAAGGCAAAUGCACAGCUGUGAAGGAAACAAGUGACCUCUGAACUCCACACCAGUAAAACAACUGUUAAAGCAUAUAUGUUCUAAUGGAUGACAGUGGCCAAUGUGGAGAGAAUCUGGGAAGGACCACGAAGAAGCUCCUCUAUUGAAACUCACCACCAACCCCAGGUUUUCUAAAUGAGGAAAACAUGUACAAACAGCAGGUCGAAAACCUGUCACCUUUUCUUGGAACCUCUUUGAAAUUUAAAGAUUACUGAUUGUUCUUUAUUAAUAAUAUUUUUCCAUCAAUGUCAAAUGUGUUAAUAGCAUGAAAAA
rnacentral:lncRNA from 1 species